GGCCCUGUGGCGGAAUUGGCAGACGCAUGGGACUUAAAAUCCCAGGCCCGGCAACGGGCGUGUGGGUUCGAUCCCCACCGGGGCCA
rnacentral:tRNA from 1 species